GACGAACGCUGGCGGCGCGCUUAACACAUGCAAGUCGAACGGAAAGGCCUGCUUUCCUUUGUGGAUUGCGGGUACUCGAGUGGCGAACGGGUGAGUAACACGUGAGUGAUCUGCCCCCAACUUGGGUAUAAGCCUGGGAAACUGGGUCUAAUUCCCGAUAGGACUGCAGGGUGGUGCCUGUGGUGGAAAACGAUUUUCUAGUGGUUGGGGAUGAGCUCGCGGCCUAUCAGCUUGUUGGUGGGGUAAUGGCCUACCAAGGCGGCGACGGGUAGCCGGCCUGAGAGGGUGGACGGCCACAUUGGGACUGAGAUACGGCCCAGACUCCUACGGGAGGCAGCAGUGGGGAAUAUUGCACAAUGGGCGGAAGCCUGAUGCAGCGACGCCGCGUGGGGGAUGACGGCCUUCGGGUGGUAAACUCCUUUCGACCGCGAGGAAGCCACCUGGUUGGAAGGGUGGUGACGGUAGUGGUAGAAGAAGCACCGGCUAACUACGUG
rnacentral:rRNA from 1 species